AAUUCAAAUUUCAGGACCUUUAUUUUCUUCCCAAACAACCCAAUUCUGAGUCCACAUCUGUUAAUGACAAGUCCAUCCAAAUUCUCCUAAAACAGCCCAUCAGCAACACAAUUUCCUGCAGACAUACUACGCACACGCGCAUCAAUUCCAAACGACCCCCACCCCUGCGUCUUUCUUUUCUUCUUCAACAGUCCAGAACAAUGACCAAACCCAGAAAUCGACAGCCCUAAAAAACGCGACCCGAGUCCAGCAAAUAAGCAGUUGCGUGGCCCUCUCCUCUCUCAUUAUCUUCUCCGUAGGGUGGAGCAAUCUCGCACCUCAAGCGUCCUUGCUCCAAGAUUUGACGGCUCAAUUCUUUUUUCCGUUCAAGUUUGUUGAAGAAUCCAAUGAUGCGAAAAGCAUCAAGGGAUAUUCCUUAUCUCUUGGGAUGUUUUAAAUUUCGAAUUGAAAUCCCAAAAGAAUUUCUCCCUCCCGUUUCCGACCAUUUUUUCCCUCAUUCUCAUCUAUAAAUACUGCUCUUCUUCUCUAUUGUUGGGGUUUUUUUUCUGAAAUUUUUUUUAGUGACAUUCAGAAAUUAGCUACAAUACUACAUAGAAAAUAUACAUAGAAAAUACAAAAAUUUUGAGGUAAAAACGGACCCGAAUCAGACAAGUAAUAUAAAGGAUACUCAACGUCCUCUCUCUGUUUUCGUGGUCUCAUUUUGGUGGAAGAAUCGUCUUCGUGUUAAGCUCGUCGUCUCCGGUCGCUGCCCACAACAAGGAGAGCCGUAAAGGCUCAAUUGUUUCAUCGAGUCAGCCAUAAAAAUCGAUGAACAGGUCCCGGAAUUGAAGAAUACGUGCAAACCAAAGAGUUGGGAGAUUUCGGACCAAGAUUCAAAAUUUAUUUUAAAUAUUGUAUUCCGUUAUGUAGGGCAUAAGCCCUCGUUUUGUAUUAUUAUUUUUUGCUAGAAACUUAGGACAGGUACAAUUGAAGUGGGUCAAAAACCCAAAACAAAAAUGGGUCUAAAUAUCGGUUCAGGCGAACAGAAAUCGGAUUUGAACCCAA